rnacentral:tRNA from 1 species
GCGCCCGUGGUGAAACGGAUAUCAUAAGUGCCUUCGAAGCAUUUGUUCCAGGUUCGAGUCCUGGCGGGCGCG